GGUCGUCCCCCCGGCGACGUCCUCCGGUGAACCGGGUCAGGGCCGGAAGGCAGCAGCCCUAAGCCGUUCUUGGACGGGUGCCGGACGGGGCGGCCGGA
rnacentral:SRP_RNA from 2 species